rnacentral:pre_miRNA from 1 species
CCGAGGUUCUGGCUUUGAGAACUGAAUUCCAAGGGUAUUCUGUUCACAUUCAGCCCACGGAGUUCAGUUCUUAAGCUUGGAUUCUCCAG